GUCUUCAGUAGUGAGAGUUCACUGUGACGAACUAAAACAUGAAAGUAUUAAUUGUUUUGUGUGUGAUGUGCGUUUUGGUGGCUUUCAGUAGUGGGAAAGAAAAGAGGGGUCAUCAAAGAUCUGUAGAAAUUCGCCGGCACGAACCUGACGCACCAUACGCGCCACCAAUGCUGACGCUGCACAGACCCCGGGAACCUUCAGAACGCUCCACAGCCCAGGAUCAUGACAUCGAAGACCAUGACGAUGAUGAUGAAGACUUAGAUGAUUUGAGCGAUGACGAAAUUUCCGUCUAACUUUCAAGUUUACCACAACACAAACGUUGGGUUUCUUAAAACAACUGUUUACAAUGGAUUUUCACGUUUCACGGUUUAUUUUCAGACAGUUGUUUUAGGGAGGGUGCAUUUUCCGUUAUCUUGCUUAAGAAAAUUGGAAGUUCAUGUUGGUGGUUUAAAUGGGCCUAAGACGCUCUAGACGGUCAAUUUUGCGCAAUUUAAUUGGUCGUCUGGGUUGCUAAUAAGACUUUUGUCGAAGAGUCGCCUACAACCUAGAACAAGUAUUCUGAUUCUGCCAAAUGGACUACAUAAAAAUCUUUAUCCAAAUUCUUUUUUCACCAUUAAAGUAUUUUAAAAUAA